rnacentral:lncRNA from 1 species
UAUUUGCUGUGUCAAUAGCCCACACCUUCUCUACUAACUUGACUUUCAGCUCUCAGAGAAGAUGAAACCCAAAUAUAAUAGAUACCACCCCUACUCGUAGGCAAGCUUGCCAAAGAACAGCUCAACCCGUGUUGGUACUCUGCAUCAUCCUGAAGACAAAACCAUCUCCCCAUGGAAGGGUGUUGUGCACAGACGAGAUGGACGAGAAGUGAAAAUAGCCACAGUAAGGAAGACAGUACAUGUAAUAUUCGAUAUAGCUCCUUUGAUUUUUUUUCAACCAGCAUAUACUGGGGAACCUCUUAAGUGCUAGUGACUGAGGAUAUAGGAACGAUGGCCCCGACCUGUAAGAACUCAGAAUUUUGCAUCUGAGAUGGAUAAGUAAGCAAACAGUUUCUAUCAGACUUACAAGUGGUCUAAGAUAAAGGAUAGAAAAUGCUGUUGGAGCAGAGUGGAGGAGGUGCUCACAUUGUCUGAAGGAGUCAGAAGAGGCCUUGCUGAGGAAGCAACCAUUAAGCCCUGUUGGCUGAGUCUUGAAAGAUGAACAAGCAGGCGUGCACCAGGUGAAAUGAGCAUAGAAGGUCAUUGCUGACAUUGGGAACAGUGUGUGGCAAAAACACAGAGGCACGAAAGAGUUUGGUUAGAGAAAUGGGAUCCAUGGAGUCACUGGAUAGAAGAGACAUGAUAAAGGACCAUCAACCUUGACAGAUACUAAGAAGACCUUGUUUGCCUGCUGACGGGCUAGGACUUUGCUCUGGAGGCGAAGGGGGUUUUAAACUAAAAAACAAGAUGAUUAAUUUGUUUUCAGGAAAGAUAACUGAGCGGUUGAUGGGGUGCAAAGAGGAAAGACUAGAGGCUGGGAGACUGGAAGCAUAUGAAGAUAAGAAGCUCAUCUGGGUUACAUAAUCAGGAAGUUGAUGGGGUCUCAGGAAGAGAGGCUAGACCUCUUGGCUCCUGGUUUGAGCUUUUUUGAUUAGAUUGCUCCUCCUGCCACAUCUUUGAAACCUGCCUACUAAGCAAACCUUGACCUAAAAUUACAGUGCUCAUCUGAACAGGAAAAUAAAGCAUACCAAAUUGCAACUAAGUUUGAUUUG